UACGUAGAGUGCAAGCGUUAAUCGGAAUUACUGGGCGUAAAGCGUGCGCAGGCGGUUUUGUAAGUCUGUCGUGAAAUCCCCGGGCUCAACCUGGGAAUUGCGAUGGAGACUGCAAGGCUAGAAUCUGGCAGAGGGGGGUAGAAUUCCACGUGUAGCAGUGAAAUGCGUAGAGAUGUGGAGGAACACCGAUGGCGAAGGCGGCCCCCUGGGUCAAGAUUGACGCUCAUGCACGAAAGCGUGGGGAGCAAACAGG
rnacentral:rRNA from 1 species